AGAGUUUGAUCCUGGCUCAGGAUGAACGCUAGCGGCAGGCCUAACACAUGCAAGUCGAGGGGCAUCACGAGGUAGCAAUACUUUGGUGGCGACCGGCGCACGGGUGCGUAACGCGUAUGUAACCUACCUAUAACAGGGGCAUAACACUGAGAAAUUGGUACUAAUUCCCCAUAAUAUUCGGAGAGGCAUCUCUCCGGGUUGAAAACUCCGGUGGUUAUAGAUGGACAUGCGUUGUAUUAGCUAGUUGGUGAGGUAACGGCUCACCAAGGCAACGAUACAUAGGGGGACUGAGAGGUUAACCCCCCACACUGGUACUGAGACACGGACCAGACUCCUACGGGAGGCAGCAGUGAGGAAUAUUGGUCAAUGGACGCAAGUCUGAACCAGCCAUGCCGCGUGCAGGAAGACGGCUCUAUGAGUUGUAAACUGCUUUUGUACGAGGGUAAACGCAGAUACGUGUAUCUGUCUGAAAGUAUCGUACGAAUAAGGAUCGGCUAACUCCGUGCCAGCAGCCGCGGUAAUACGGAGGAUUCAAGCGUUAUCCGGAUUUAUUGGGUUUAAAGGGUGCGUAGGCGGUUUGAUAAGUUAGAGGUGAAAUUUCGGGGCUCAACCCCGAACGUGCCUCUAAUACUGUUGAGCUAGAGAGUAGUUGCGGUAGGCGGAAUGUAUGGUGUAGCGGUGAAAUGCUUAGAGAUCAUACAGAACACCGAUUGCGAAGGCAGCUUACCAAACUAUAUCUGACGUUGAGGCACGAAAGCGUGGGGAGCAAACAGGAUUAGAUACCCUGGUAGUCCACGCAGUAAACGAUGAUAACUCGUUGUCGGCGAUACACAGUCGGUGACUAAGCGAAAGCGAUAAGUUAUCCACCUGGGGAGUACGUUCGCAAGAAUGAAACUCAAAGGAAUUGACGGGGGCCCGCACAAGCGGAGGAACAUGUGGUUUAAUUCGAUGAUACGCGAGGAACCUUACCCGGGCUUGAAAGUUACUGACGAUUCUGGAAACAGGAUUUCCCUUUGGGGCAGGAAACUAGGUGCUGCAUGGUUGUCGUCAGCUCGUGCCGUGAGGUGUCGGGUUAAGUCCCAUAACGAGCGCAACCCCUACCGUUAGUUGCCAUCAGGUCAAGCUGGGCACUCUGGCGGGACUGCCGGUGUAAGCCGAGAGGAAGGUGGGGAUGACGUCAAAUCAGCACGGCCCUUACGUCCGGGGCUACACA
rnacentral:rRNA from 1 species